rnacentral:pre_miRNA from 13 species
CAGAGCUGUGGAGUGUGACAAUGGUGUUUGUGUCUAAAUUAUCAAACGCCAUUAUCACACUAAAUAGCUACUGC